CCUACGGGAGGCAGCAGUGAGGAAUAUUGGUCAAUGGACGCAAGUCUGAACCAGCCAUGCCGCGUGCAGGAUGACGGCUCUAUGAGUUGUAAACUGCUUUUGUACGGGGGUAAACCCCGAUACGUGUAUCUGUUUGAAUGUAUCGUACGAAUAAGGAUCGGCUAACUCCGUGCCAGCAGCCGCGGUAAUACGGAGGAUCCGAGCGUUAUCCGGAUUUAUUGGGUUUAAAGGGUGCGUAGGCGGUUUGAUAAGUUAGAGGUGAAAUGUCGGGGCUCAACCCAGAAACUGCCGCUGAUACUGUUGGACUAGAGAAUAGUUGUGGUAGGCGGAAUGUAUGGUGUAGCGGUGAAAUGCUUAGAGAUCAUGCAGAACACCGAUUGCGAAGGCAGCUUACCAAACUAUAUCUGACGUUGAGGCACGAAAGCGUGGGUAGCAAACAGGAUUAGAUACCCGUGUAGUC
rnacentral:rRNA from 1 species